rfam:Myotis brandtii contig245982, whole genome shotgun sequence.
GGCUGUUCUCGGGUGACGCACUUCAGAAUUUGUUUACCUCCUCUCUGGUUCUGGGGUGCAUCAUCUGAGAACCACC